rnacentral:piRNA from 1 species
UGUGAGACUUCUUUUUCUGGCAGCUGUUC